rnacentral:rRNA from 1 species
GACAGAGGGUGCAAACGUUGUUCGGAAUUACUGGGCAUAAAGGGCACGUAGGUGGUGCGCUAAGUCACGUGUGAAAUCCCCCGGCUCAACCGGGGAAUUGCGCGUGAUACUGGCGGACUUGAGGCGGGUAGGGGUGAGCGGAACUCCAGGUGGAGCGGUGAAAUGCGCAGAUAUCGGGAGGAACACCAAUGGCGAAGGCAGCUCGCUGGGACGGUAUUGACGCUGAGACGCGAAAGCGUGGGGAGCAAACAGG